rnacentral:lncRNA from 1 species
AUAGUAAGUCAGAAGGUUGUUAUAAGUAAUAAAAUGUGAUUAUGGAUUUCUCUGAAAAUUAAUAUGACAGCACAACGACACAUCCUAUUUGAUGGGCACAUGAUGACAUAGAAGAUUAUUUCUGACAAAAUAUCUCAGGAUUUCAUCAAUUUUCCCAAGAACCCUCUAUAUCCUUUAAAAUUCAAAUUAUUCUCUUUUGAAGAGCUACUUUUUUUCA